GACGAACCGUCCAAACGUUAUUCGGAAUUACUGGGCGUAAAGCGUGCGCAGGCGGUUUUGUAAGUCAGAUGUGAAAUCCCCGGGCUUAACCUGGGAACUGCGUUUGAAACUACAAGGCUAGAGUGUAGCAGAGGGGGGUGGAAUUCCACGUGUAGCAGUGAAAUGCGUAGAGAUGUGGAGGAACACCGAUGGCGAAGGCAGCCCCCUGGGUUAACACUGACGCUCAGGCACGAAAGCGUGGGGAGCAAACAGG
rnacentral:misc_RNA from 1 species